CUAUCGGUACCCUCACAAUGGCACUGACUUGUCUGUUGUAUUUGGUAAGUGCUAUUUGUUGGGGUAGUU
ensembl:miRNA